rnacentral:rRNA from 1 species
GACGAACGCUGGCGGCGUGCUUAACACAUGCAAGUCGAACGGAAAGGCCCUGCUUUUGUGGGGUGCUCGAGUGGCGAACGGGUGAGUAACACGUGAGUAACCUGCCCUUGACUUUGGGAUAACUUCAGGAAACUGGGGCUAAUACCGGAUAGGAGCUCCUGCUGCAUGGGGGGGGUUGGAAAGUUUCGGCGGUUGGGGAUGGACUCGCGGCUUAUCAGCUUGUUGGUGGGGUAGUGGCUUUCCAAGGCUUUGACGGGUAGCCGGCCUGAGAGGGUGACCGGCCACAUUGGGACUGAGAUACGGACCAGACUCCUACGGUAGGCAGCAGUGGGGAAUAUUGCACAGUGGGCGGAAGCCUGAUGCAGCAACGCUGCGUGCGGGAUGACGGCCUUCGGGUUGUAAACCGCUUUCGCCUGUGACGAAGCGUGAGUGACGGUAAUGGGUAAAGAAGCACCGGCUAACUACGUG